AUUGUGAAAAUGUGUAUUCCCUCUUCUUUAACAGUGUACUCUGUCAGAGUAAACAGAGGCGAGACCAAAGCAGAGGCCUGCAGGGAUCCAGAGAGCAGAGCCGCAUUUUAUCUCCACUCUGCUUUUAUCUGCUGUAUGGGAAUAAAUAAAGCCAGCAUUACUCCCUAAUAUCUCUCUCACACACACACACACAUAGAUUGUUCAGGGGGAAACCAAGCUUGCCUUGCUGAACACAAACACACUCCCCCAAAGUUAAGCAAGACAAGCAACCGAGGCUCAGUGAAGCUAUCGAUUUGCACAGGAGGCUCAGCGCUAAGCAGAACAAGAGAGACAGAAGCAGCAAGAAAGAGCAGGCUGCCUCUCGCACGUCAACACAGGACUGAAUGAAAGGCUGAGAGCGUGCUGUGGCAUCUUAAGUGGGUGUGAUAUCGAGGCUGGAGCCAACAAGCAGACAGCAGGUACACAAGGCUAGACGGGGAUGUUCACUUCACCUCCAGCUCUACUUUCAUCCAUCUCCCUCCACCCCUCUCUCACCGCCUCUAUCCCCUGUGUGCGUUUUGUUAUUACACUCUGGCUUGAUAUAUUUAUUCUGUCCAUCACAGCGUUGCUCUUUGCCCCACCAUCCCACCCUCUGCAUAAUAUUUUCAAUCUCAUCACAGGACGCUCCGCUGGAGUUGUCGAAUCUCGCCUCUGCUGAGGUGUGAGAUGCGAGAUGGCGAGUCAGACCUGUAACCCUCCCGGCUUCCUCUCUGCCCUUCACAUUUGACAGAGAAAACAGAGAAACAUUUCAGCAGCAGACAGAUUUUGCUUUUUUUUGCUAUCAACAAUAUGAUUGCUGCCUCAUUGCAAAGUCUAACAAGCAGCUGGGACUGCGACUAAAAAUGAUUUCAAUUCUAAACAGACAGCAGCAAAAUAACACUGGUGUGGUAGGCACUCGUUAGUUUGCCAUGUAGCUUUGAGUGGCGUGUACCUGUGUUAUCGUUCUUACACGCAUGUAUUAAGCUCAUAUAGACUAUUUUGUCAGAAUGAUGUACUUCAAAUAAAAUGUUUCUUUACAACAAA